GACGAACGCUGGCGGCGUGCUUAACACAUGCAAGUCAAACGGAAAGGCCCUGCUUUCGUGGGGUGCUCGAGUGGCGAACGGGUGAGUAACCUGUGAGUAACCUGCCCUUGACUUUGGGAUAACUUCAGGAAACUGGGGCUAAUACCGGCUAGGUGCUCCUGCUGCAUGGUGGGGGUUGGAACGUUUCGGUGGUUGGGGAUGGACUCGCGGCUUAUCAGUUUGUUGGUGGGGUAGUGGCUUACCAAGGCUUUGACGGGUAGCCGGCCUGAGAGGGUGACCGGCCACAUUGGGACUGAGAUACGGCCCAGACUCCUACGGGAGGCAGCAGGGGGGAAUAUUGCACAAUGGGCGGAAGCCUGAUGCAGCAACGCCGCGUGCGGGAUGACGGCCUUCGGGUUGUAAACCGCUUUCGCCUGUGACGAAGCGUGAGUGACGGUAAUGGGUAAAGAAGCACCGGCUAACUACGUG
rnacentral:rRNA from 1 species